ACAGUCCUCACCAUCAACAACCCUCUCCUUAUCACAGACUAGCUAUCCUACGUGUGUAGAAGCAGGCAAUGCUACCUCUGUGCCGCACAGACACACUGCACUCACACUGUCAGUGUCCACAGAGACAUGGGAGUGCUGUGACUUUAAGUCCAGGGAAUGUGUAAUGGAGCUGUGCAGUAUGAUAUGUGGUAUAGGACUAUAUAUAGAGUUGUAAUGGGCUCGACUAACCUCACACAGUCACUCUUACUCUCUACAGAGAUCCUUGGAAAUAGGCGAGGUGUCGCAACACCCAAGGUCUUGUACAUAAACAUGUUCUAUUGGGAUGGUUUCUCUCUUUCCCAAAGGGUUCUGUUGUGUAUUUUCCCUCCUGUUCUGUUAGCUUGGUUUUGUGAGAGUGUCUCUGUCUCCGUGAAGGUUGUUGUUCUGAAUGUGAUCUGGUGGAGGUCCAUUGGCCUCUCUGUGUGUGAGCCUCCUGGUUCUGAAUGUGAUCUGGUGGAGGUCCAUUGGCCUCUCUGUGUGUGAGCCUCCUGGCUCUGAAUGUGAUCUGGUGGAGGUCCAUUGGCCUCUCUGUGUGUGAGCCUCCUGGCUCUGAAUGUGAUCUGGUGGAGGUCCAUUGGCCUCUCUGUGUGUGAGCCUCCUGGUUCUGAAUGUGAUCUGGUGGAGGUCCAUUGGCCUCUCUGUGUGUGAGCCUCCUGGCUCUGAAUGUGAUCUGGUGGAGGUCCAUUGGCCUCUCUGUGUGUGAGCCUCCUGGUUCUGAAUGUGAUCUGGUGGAGGUCCAUUGGCCUCUCUGUGUGUGAGCCUCCUGGCUCUGAAUGUGAUCUGGUGGAGGUCCAUUGGCCUCUCUGUGUGUGAGCCUCCUGGUUCUGAAUGUGAUCUGGUGGAGGUCCAUUGGCCUCUCUGUGUGUGAGCCUCCUGGCUCUGAAUGUGAUCUGGUGGAGGUCCAUUGGCCUCUCUGUGUGUGAGCCUCCUGGCUCUGAAUGUGAUCUGGUGGAGGUCCAUUGGCCUCUCUGUGUGUGAGCCUCCUGGCUCUGAAUGUGAUCUGGUGGAGGUCCAUUGGCCUCUCUGUGUGUGAGCCUCCUGGCUCUGAAUGUGAUCUGGUGGAGGUCCAUUGGCCUCUCUGUGUGUGAGCCUCCUGGCUCUGAAUGUGAUCUGGUGGAGGUCCAUUGGCCUCUCUGUGUGUGAGCCUCCUGGCUCUGAAUGUGAUCUGGUGGAGGUCCAUUGGCCUCUCUGUGUGUGAGCCUCCUGGCUCUGAAUGUGAUCUGGUGGAGGUCCAUUGGCCUCUCUGUGUGUGAGCCUCCUGGCUCUGAAUGUGAUCUGGUGGAGGUCCAUUGGCCUCUCUGUGUGUGAGCCUCCUGGCUCUGAAUGUGUGUGAGUGUCCUGUGCUCAUUGUGCAGUCUGCUCAGCUGGCCAGAGGAAGUAGCACCAACACAAUGCAGCCCGUUGAUUCCUAUGGACACUGCCUGGGUUCAUCCAGGACUCUACUGCUAACUAACUUACUGGCCCAUUAGCUAGGAAGGAACAGCACAACCAUAUCAGUGAAAAUGAGACAAUACAGGAUGUGGUUUUAAUGCACUGCAAGCAAUAUUUUCUUUGCGUAGGCAUACACCAAUCUAAACCCAAUGAGCACUGAAUAAUUGCCGUAGAGGUAGAUGGCCCACUUAACAAGAGAAUUACUGGGAGUGAUCGCUCCUCCUUGUGGGUAGUUAAUGGACUGCAGUUAUUGCUAGGAAACAUCUGUAGCUUGUGCAAGUAUAUGUGUUUGUGGGAAUAGAUAUAACCAGAUGUGUGU